CAUGCUCUAUUUCUAUUCAUUUUUGAAAAUCCUAUAUAAGCAUGGUGAAAGUUGAGAAGAGAUAUUCUCAACAGAAACACCUUUACCAUGGAGGCCAUGGAUUUCCUAUAAACAAAUAGCUCCAGUGAGUAAAAUUAUAAAUGGGUAGUCAUAAGACGUGUAAACAUACCUAAAGCAGAGCAUAUAGUUCAGGAAUAUUCUCCACAAGUGUCUCAAAUAAUCAGAUCCAAGCAACCAUGAGCAUGACAAAAUUAAGUAUUAGGUAUGUAUUGUUUCAUUUGAUAAUUCUAGGAUGUUUGUACUUCACAUCAGAGUUCAGUUGUUUCAACAUCUUUGUUUCUCUAAUGCAGCUACUACUACAUCCUGAAUCUGAUGAUUCAGCUCAACUUUCCUAGAUUGAGACUGAAAAGCUGCUAGCCCAGUUAGUUGAGACUGAGAUGAACAAACGUUUGAAGGAGGACACUUACAAAGGAAAGAAGUUUAAUGCAAUCUGUCACUUCUUGGGCUACCAAGCUAGGGGAGCACUGCCUUCAAAGUUUGAUUGCGAUUAUGCCUACGCAAGUCCCUCACCAGCUCAUUUAAUAAAGAAUAUUGAUUGUUGUUGGUUUAACACGUGGGUUAUUGG